GAUGAACGCUGGCGGCGUGCCUAAUACAUGCAAGUCGAGCGAACAGACGAGGAGCUUGCUCCUCUGACGUUAGCGGCGGACGGGUGAGUAACACGUGGAUAACCUACCUAUAAGACUGGGAUAACUUCGGGAAACCGGAGCUAAUACCGGAUAAUAUAUUGAACCGCAUGGUUCAAUAGUGAAAGACGGUUUUGCUGUCACUUAUAGAUUGAUCCGCGCCGCAUUAGCUAGUUGGUAAGGUAACGGCUUACCAAGGCAACGAUGCGUAGCCGACCUGAGAGGGUGAUCGGCCACACUGGAACUGAGACACGGUCCAGACUCCUACGGGAGGCAGCAGUAGGUAAUCUUCCGCAAUGGGCGAAAGCUUGACGGAGCAACGCCGCGUGAGUGAUGAAGGUCUUCGGAUCGUAAAACUCUGUUAUUAGGGAAGAACAAAUGUGUAAGUAACUAUGCACGUCUUGACGGUACCUAAUCAGAAAGCCACGGCUAACUACGUG
rnacentral:rRNA from 1 species